AACUUUAAGAGUGCACUAAGAGAGAGGAGUAAUGAGCGGCACACUUCCUAGUAAACCCGUCUCUUGUGUGCAUUUUGCAAUUUUAUUACCACAAAUAUAUAUUUCUGAAUGAUUUCGAUAUAUUUUCUAGUCUGGCAACAUUUUAUAACGUCAUAGUUAAGAGAAGGAUAAUAAUUUAAUAAUAAAAGUAAUUGGCCGUGUCUCAAUGCGAAGGCUGCAGCCUCUGGAGGUCGCAUUUCUCGGCUGCAUACGUCAUCAAAACUGUCUUGUUUCAGAAUAUUAACAAUUAUAAAGUUGACUGUUAUUCUAAGUUAAUAGUAAAUUGUUUAAUAUGCUUAUGACUUGCGAAUCUAAUGGUCAGUUAACUUAAAUAACCCAGGGUUGAUGACGUAUGGACCCUGCAUAUGCAAGUGCGACGACCUCCGCAGGCUGAAACCAGUCUCUCGAGCUGAAAGAAAACGCAGCUGAGGAGAUAUGAGACUGCAGACAAGAGCCAUCGACCAUCGUUCCAGAAAACUUCCACCUAAACAGAUGCUGAGGCCCAGAUUUCCCUGCCAAGCACUCCAAGGCUCAUCAUGCUCGGAGAGUCCAUUCUGGGGGCAAAAAAUGGAUGCUUUCCAUCGAGGGCAGAGUUCUCCUCCAAUUGAGUGACCGUUGUGAUUUCACUUCUGCUCUAGCCAUGUAUGAUGCAGCCACUACAUUGGAAUUUAUCCAGAGGGUAGAGUCCAGCCCAGGAAGUCAACUAGUUCAGGUCCAGUUUUAAAAGAAUAAUAGUUCUGAAAAAAAAACCGUCUUGGAGAAAAACAAUAUUCAGGUUUGAAAUCCUGCUGUAAAUGUAAAUCAUUUAAUUUUUAUGCAUUUGUAAUUUACCAGAAACAUUUUAAUAAAUAUUGAUUGUUUUGUGUGUUCAGAAAAGUGUUUUUGUAUGAAGUGUUGAAAUUAAAUGAAAUAUUCACAGAAAAAUGUUAACAUAUAAAAAA